rnacentral:rRNA from 1 species
UACGUAGGGGGCAAGCGUUGUCCGGAUUUAUUGGGCGUAAAGAGCGUGUAGGCGGCCAGGUAGGUCCGUUGUGAAAACUCGAGGCUCAACCUCGAGACGCCGAUGGAAAACCCCUGGCUAGAGUCCGGAAGAGGAGAGUGGAAUUCCUGGUGUAGCGGUGAAAUGCGCAGAUAUCAGGAAGAACACCCGUGGCGAAGGCGGCUCUCUAGUACGGUACUGACGCUGAGACGCGAAAGCGUGGGGAGCGAACAGG